UCUGGCGACAAUAGCGCGGCGGCACUAUCCCUUCCCAUUCCGAACAGGGUCAUAAAACGCCGCGACGCCGAUGAUACUCACAAGGGAAAGUAGGUAUCGCCAGAA
rnacentral:rRNA from 1 species